rnacentral:rRNA from 1 species
UACGUAGGGCGCAAGCGUUGUCCGGAAUUAUUGGGCGUAAAGAGCUCGUAGGCGGUUUGUCGCGUCUGCUGUGAAAACCCGAGGCUCAACCUCGGGCCUGCAGUGGGUACGGGCAGACUAGAGUGCGGUAGGGGAGAGUGGAAUUCCUGGUGUAGCGGUGGAAUGCGCAGAUAUCAGGAGGAACACCAAUGGCGAAGGCAGAUCUCUGGGCCGUAACUGACGCUGAGGAGCGAAAGCAUGGGGAGCGAACAGG